AACCUCCGCAAUGUGAGAAAUCGCGACGGGGGGAUCCCAAGUGCCAUUCUUAACGGGAUGGCUUUUCAUUAGUGUAAAGAGCUUUUGGAAUAAGAGCUGGGCAAGACCGGUGCCAGCCGCCGCGGUAACACCGGCAGCUCUAGUGGUAACAAUUUUUAUUGGGCCUAAAGCGUCCGUAGCCGGUUUAAUAAGUCUCUGGUGAAAUCCUGCAGCUUAACUGUGGGAAUUGCUGGAGAUACUAUUAGACUUGAGACCGGGAGAGGUUAGAGGUACUCCCAGGGUAGAGGUGAAAUUCUGUAAUCCUGGGAGGACCGCCUGUUGCGAAGGCGUCUAACUGGAACGGUUCUGACGGUGAGGGACGAAAGUUAGGGGCGCGAACCGGAUUAGAUACCCGGGUAGUCCUAACUGUAAACGAUGCGGACUUGGUGUUGGGGUGGCUUUGAGCUGCUUCAGUGCCGAAGGGAAGCUGUUAAGUCCGCCGCCUGGGAAGUACGGUCGCAAGACUGAAACUUAAAGGAAUU
rnacentral:rRNA from 1 species